rnacentral:rRNA from 1 species
CCUUAGAGUUUGAUCCUGGCUCAGAACGAACGCUGGCGGCGUGCUUAACACAUGCAAGUCGAACGGGAUCCAGAGCUUGCUCUGGUGAGAGUGGCGCACGGGUGAGUAACGCGUGGAUAACCUGCCCUGGUAUCUGGAAUAACAUCUCGAAAGGGGUGCUAAUACCGGAUAAGCCCACGGCUCCUUCGGGAGCUGCGGGAAAAGGUGGCCUCUAUUUAUAAGCUACCGUAUCAGGAUGGG